CCUUGGUAACACUAACACAUUCUGGAGUGUGUAAUGCACCUCCGCAAGACGCUUGGCACAACGUGUUUUCAUAUACUAUAUACUAUUAAUCGGUGCCUCUCUUCUCUGCUCCACCACCACCAUACCAUAUAUAUAAAGACAUUCGCACAUUAAUUACCUAACCACUUUUGUCUCAUCGCUACAUGGAUUGGUGGCAUAAGAUCAGAAGAACUUGGUGUGCGCUCUCUACAAGAAUCAAGCUUCGCAAAUCUGGGGUUGGGAGACACAGCGGUGGGAUUGAAUACAACGGCGAUGUUGGGUUGCUGAAGCUAAGAGAUGAUGUACAAAUGUGUGGGUACAGAGAUGUAGAGGUUAUGUGGAACAUGUUGAGCAUAACCCUACACCAUGAUCAAGUGGAAGCCACCAACUCAACUACUGCCUGCAAUUGUAGAUCCAUUUCCACUGCUUUAAUUAUUAAUUUCUGAACUUCUGUGUAUGAUAAAGUUUUGCAGUGGAAUAUAUGUGCAUAGUGUAUAAUGUAUUUUUCUUGCAAUACAUGUAUUUCUUAUAGUAAGUAAUAUAUAAGAAUAAGGAUAAGAAAUUAAGAAUGAAACUUUUGUUAAUAAGAGGGAAUUGAAGUUGAGUUUGAUUGCUUC